rnacentral:tRNA from 1 species
GUUUCCGUAGUGCAGUGGUUAUCACGUUCGCCUCACACGCGAAUGAUCCCCGGUUCGAGCCCAGGCGGGAACA